UAUAAUAAAAUUAUUAUUGUAUUAUGUCACUAAGUUUGAGGUGACUUAUUACUCAGUUAUAAAAACUGAACACCUAUGAAGUAUCUGUCAAGGGCAGAACUCAAGCCUCAGACUCUGGAGACACAUCUAGAUUUCAGUCUCAAUUUCAUCCUUUACCAGCUCUACGACUGCAGACAAGUCCGCCAGGGAAUAGGAAGCUUUAGAAAGAUACUUCGCAAUCCAUACCAGCAGCUUCAAAGAAAGGCGGAAGGCACCAAGUAAAAGAGAGAAACUGAGGCUCACAGAGCUUAGAUACCAUACUUCCUGACACACAGCUACUAAAUGAUGCGGUAAGGAUUUGGACUCAGCUGUGUCCGACCAGGACACGUGAAG
rnacentral:lncRNA from 1 species